GAUGAACGCUGGCGGCGUGCCUAAUACAUGCAAGUCGAGCGAAUGGAUUAAGAGCUUGCUCUUAUGAAGUUAGCGGCGGACGGGUGAGUAACACGUGGGUAACCUGCCCAUAAGACUGGGAUAACUCCGGGAAACCGGGGCUAAUACCGGAUAACAUUUUGAACCGCAUGGUUCGAAAUUGAAAGGCGGCUUCGGCUGUCACUUAUGGAUGGACCCGCGUCGCAUUAGCUAGUUGGUGAGGUAACGGCUCACCAAGGCAACGAUGCGUAGCCGACCUGAGGGGGUGAUCGGCCACACUGGGACUGAGAACCGGCCCAGACUCCUACGGGAGGCAGCAGUAGGGAAUCUUCCGCAAUGGACGAAAGUCUGACGGAGCAACGCCGCGUGAGUGAUGAAGGCUUUCGGGUCGUAAAACUCUGUUGUUAGGGAAGAACAAGUGCUAGUUGAAUAAGCUGGCACCUUGACGGUACCUAACCAGAAAGCCACGGCUAACUACGUGCCAGCCGCCGCCGUAA
rnacentral:rRNA from 1 species